rnacentral:rRNA from 1 species
AAAUUGAAGAGUUUGAUCAUGGCUCAGAUUGAACGCUGGCGGCAGGCCUAACACAUGCAAGUCGAACGGUAACAGGAAGCAGCUUGCUGCUUUGCUGACGAGUGGCGGACGGGUGAGUAAUGUCUGGGAAACUGCCUGAUGGAGGGGGAUAACUACUGGAAACGGUGGCUAAUACCGCAUAACGUCGCAAGACCAAAGAGGGGGACCUUCGGGCCUCUUGCCAUCAGAUGUGCCCAGAUGGGAUUAGCUUGUUGGUGAGGUAACGGCUCACCAAGGCGACGAUCCCUAGCUGGUCUGAGAGGAUGACCAGCCACACUGGAACUGAGACACGGUCCAGACUCCUACGGGAGGCAGCAGUGGGGAAUAUUGCACAAUGGGCGCAAGCCUGAUGCAGCCAUGCCGCGUGUAUGAAGAAGGCCUUCGGGUUGUAAAGUACUUUCAGCGGGGAGGAAGGUGUUGUGGUUAAUAACCGCAGCAAUUGACGUUACCCGCAGAAGAAGCACCGGCUAACUCCGUGCCAGCAGCCGCGGUAAUACGGAGGGUGCAAGCGUUAAUCGGAAUUACUGGGCGUAAAGCGCACGCAGGCGGUCUGUCAAGUCGGAUGUGAAAUCCCCGGGCUCAACCUGGGAACUGCAUUCGAAACUGGCAGGCUUGAGUCUUGUAGAGGGGGGUAGAAUUCCAGGUGUAGCGGUGAAAUGCGUAGAGAUCUGGAGGAAUACCGGUGGCGAAGGCGGCCCCCUGGACAAAGACUGACGCUCAGGUGCGAAAGCGUGGGGAGCAAACAGGAUUAGAUACCC